rnacentral:rRNA from 1 species
GUGGGGAAUAUUGGACAAUGGGCGAAAGCCUGAUCCAACCAUGCCGCGUGUGUGAAGAAGGUCUUCGGAUUGUAAAGCACUUUAAGUUGGGAGGAAGGGCAGUAAGUUAAUACCUUGCUGUUUUGACGUUACCGACAGAAUAAGCACCGGCUAACUUCGUGCCAGCAGCCGCGGUAAUACGAAGGGUGCAAGCGUUAAUCGGAAUUACUGGGCGUAAAGCGCGCGUAGGUGGUUUUGUAAGUUGGAGGUGAAAUCCCCGGGCUCAACCUGGGAACUGCCUCCAAAACUGCAUGACUAGAGUACGGUAGAGGGUAGUGGAAUUUCCUGUGUAGCGGUGAAAUGCGUAGAUAUAGGAAGGAACACCAGUGGCGAAGGCGACUACCUGGACUGAUACUGACACUGAGGUGCGAAAGCGUGGGGAGCAAACAGGAUUAGAAACCCUUGUAGUCC